AGAUUGAACGCUGGCGGCAUGCCUUACACGUGCAAGUCGAACGGUAGAGUAGCAAUACUCGAGAGUGGCGAACGGGUGAGUAAUAUAUCGGAACGUGCCCAGUCGUGGGGGAUAACGUAGAGAAAUUUACGCUAAUACCGCAUACGAUCUACGGAUGAAAGCGGGGGAUUCGCAAGAACCUCGCGCGAUUGGAGCGGCUGAUAUCAGAUUAGGUUGUUGGUGAGGUAAAAGCUCACCAAGCCGACGAUCUGUAGCUGGUUUGAGAGAACGACCAGCCACACUGGGACUGAGACACGGCCCAGACCUCCGUACGGGAGCAGCAGUAGGAAUA
rnacentral:rRNA from 1 species